AGGAUGAACGCUGGCGGUCUGCUUAACACAUGCAAGUCGAACGGAGUAGAAAUACUUAGUGGCGGACGGGUGAGUAACGCGUGAGAAUCUACCUUCAGGACGGAGACAACAGUUGGAAACGACUGCUAACCCCCGAUGUACUGAAAAGGCAAAUAUUUAUAGCCUGAAGAAGAGCUCGCGUCCGAUUAGCUAGUUGGAGAGGUAAAAGCUCACCAAGGCGACGAUCGGUAGCUGGUCUGAGAGGACGAUCAGCCACACUGGGACUGAGACACGGCCCAGACUCCUACGGGAGGCAGCAGUGGGGAAUUUUCCGCAAUGGGCGAAAGCCUGACGGAGCAAGACCGCGUGGGGAAGAAGGCUCUUGGGUUGUAAACCCCUUUUCUCUGGGAAGAACGCAAUGACGGUACCAGAGGAAUCAGCAUCGGCUAACUCCGUGCCAGCAGCCGC
rnacentral:rRNA from 1 species